rnacentral:rRNA from 1 species
GCCCCUUCGGGGGUACUCGAGCGGCGAACGGGUGAGUAACACGUGAGCAACCUGCCCCUGACUUCGGGAUAAGCCCGGGAAACUGGGUCUAAUACCGGAUAUGACCAUUGCCCGCAUGGGUUGGUGGUGGAAAGUUUUUCGGUUGGGGAUGGGCUCGCGGCCUAUCAGCUUGUUGGUGGGGUGAUGGCCUACCAAGGCGACGACGGGUAACCGGCCUGAGAGGGCGACCGGUCACACUGGGACUGAGACACGGCCCAGACUCCUACGGGAGGCAGCAGUGGGGAAUAUUGCGCAAUGGGCGGAAGCCUGACGCAGCGACGCCGCGUGGGGGAUGACGGCCUUCGGGUUGUAAACCUCUUUCAGCAUCGACGAAGCCUUUC